UGGGGAACCUGCCCCAUAGUCUGGGAUACCACUUGGAAACAGGUGCUAAUACCGGAUAAGAAAGCAGAUCGCAUGAUAAGCCUUUAAAAGGCGGCGUAAGCUGUCGCUAUGGGAUGGCCCCGCGGUGCAUUAGCUAGUUGGUAAGGUAAAGGCUUACCAAGGCGAUGAUGCAUAGCCGAGUUGAGAGACUGAUCGGCCACAUUGGGACUGAGACACGGCCCAAACUCCUACGGGAGGCAGCAGCC
rnacentral:rRNA from 1 species